CCCUUAGAUGUUCUGGGCCGCACGCGCGCUACACUGAAGGGAUCAGCGUGUUUUCCCUUCCCGAGAGGGACGGGUAACCCGCUGAACCCCCUUCGUGGUAGGGAUCGGAGCUUGCAAUUGUUCUCCGUGAACCAGGAAUUCCCAGUAAGCGCAAGUCAUAAGCUUGCGUUGAUUACGUCCCUGCCCUUUGUACACACCGCCCGUCGCUACUACCGAUUGAACGUGUUAGUGAGGUAUUUGGACUGGGCCUUGGGAGGUUUCGGCCUCCCUUGUUGCUCGGAAAGACUCCCAAACUUGAGCGUUUAGAGGAAGUAAAAGUCGUAACA
rnacentral:rRNA from 1 species